CUACGGGUCGCUGCAGCCGAGAAUAUUCCACAAUGGGCGAAAGCCUGAUGGAGCGACGCCGCGUGCAGGAAGAAGUUCUUCGGAAUGUAAACUGCUUUUAUGAGGGAAAAACUUUGAUAUUACCUCAUGAAUAAGGGGUUGCUAAGCUCGUGCCAGCAGCAGCGGUAAUACGAGUACCCCAAGCGUUAUCCGGAUUUAUUGGGCGUAAAGCAUCUGUAGUUGGUUUGAAUAGUCAAGAUGACAAAGCCCGGUGCUUAACACCGGAUCUUCAUUUGAAACGUUCAUACUAGAGCAUGUAAGAGGCAAACGGAACUUUCGGUGUAGGAGUGAAAUCCGUUGAUAUCGUAGGGAACACCAAAAGCGAAGGCAGUUUGCUGGGACAUUGCUGACAAUGAGAGACGAAAGCGUGGGUAGCGAAUGGGAUUAGAUACCCGUGUAGUC
rnacentral:rRNA from 1 species